AGAGAAGCUACUUUUGCAUCUGAUAGAAUUUUAUUGAUAAUGCGGGAUGAAAAUAAGUAAAAAAAUUAAGCUAUGUCUAAAUAAUUAGGUGAGCAUCUCUACACAUAAUGACGUAGUGGUCGUCGAACUAUCUAGAUAGUCUAUCUUCUCAACCUUCUCUCGUCGGACUACCUAUAGAUAGCCUCUCGUCGGACUACCUAGGUAGCCUACCUUCUCAACCUUCUCAACUACAAACGAAAAAAAUAAAAACCUUGCCACCGUUAGAGCGGCCCCAUCUCUCUAAGAUUAGCUACUUAACUAUAGAACAAUAUCGUGACUAUGUAGCUAAGUAGCUUUCCCACAUCAAAGAAAUUUCUGUGACCUUCUUCCGUGAAAUUAAAGUACCAUAAUUUGUUGAAAAUUAAAGCACUUUUGUCGAGAAAUAUCUAGAAAAAUCUAGAUAAGAUCACCGACCAAGCUAAAGUCUACAUAUGCCAGAACUGUCAUAUGAAAUAUCCAAUAUGGUACUAUUAGAUUGAUAAUACGAUAAAAACUAGUGGAGACCACAAAGUUGUGGUUAGGAAUGUAGCAGCAGCUCGGCUGAAAAUGUGUGGUUAGGAACAAAACAAGCCCAAGUGGGUGGAGCUUCAGCAUGUCGGCUGCUGUCAUCUGUAAAUGAAUUUGGUAUGUUUAUUUUAAAAUAAAUUAAUCCAUAAUUACAUUAAAUUACCUUUAUUAGUGGGAGUUAAAUUUCCAUUAAUAUGACUCAACUGCUUUAUGCUUGUGUCCAUUAACGUCUUUCUUGGUGGUAUACUAUGUGUAUAUGUUAGUUAUAGCUUGAAAAAGAAAAAGAGAGAAGCCACAGCCUUCUUCCUCUUAUGAUAAAAUUUGGGUUACUAACAAUACAUUUACAUUAAUUACUCUCUCUUGUAGAAAUGUGAUAUUAAUUUAUUGAUUGCAAUCAUUAAUAAAAUUUAGAGGAUUGACGGUAAUGACAAUAUGUAUAAAUGUUUUAAAAACAGUGGCCAAGGUUUUGUGUACUUGGUAGGCUUGUUAAGUUGCUGGACCCAAUUCUACAUCAAAAGAGAGGUGGAGUGCAUUUAUAGUGCAAACUCAAAAUUGGACCUAUAUCAAAAGACUCAUUCUUUUAAUUUAUGUAUUGAGAUUUCUAAGCAACAUAGUUAGAAAGGUGUUUGUUACCUUUUCUAAACUGCUUGCAUAAAUUGGGCGUAGAGCCGCGAAACGUCUGAAAGAGAACGACUUCGUACGUGACUCAUCCCAAGAAUCGUUCCAAACUACAUACUAAAUUUUUCGUGUAAUAUUGUUCUCUUAUUUUAAUUUGUUCAUCAACAAUUUAAAGACCUUUUCAUCUGCCAUUGAUGUGAAUAAUAAGGCUUAUAGAUUCUAUGACCAAAAGAACCAUGUUGUACUUGAAUCUAAAUGAUGUUUAAAAAAAAAGAAGAUAAAUUCUCAUAUAAAUUGAGAAAUUGUGGGGACUCAAGUUCUAGUAAUACAUCUUUCCCAUAAAUCAUGAACCUAGAUGUAUAGAACAUUUUUAACCAACUUAGAACCAAGGAAGAGUAAGAAAACGAAUUGCCAAGGAUUUUGGACCUAAUUUUCAUGUUCAUACCUUAGAGCAAGGAUUUUGGACCUAACUUUCACACUUGGUUUUUGUUUUUGUUCAUGUUAUCUCCUUUGAACAAGGAAAGUGGGCUCUGCCUAUUGUAGUUCUCACCUAAUUGAAGCAUAAUCUUUUUUCAUGUGCUGGUGUUAGAAUUAUCUUCAUCCUUUACUUCGAUUUAAUCCCAUCUAUAUAUUCAACUAGACAACGAUAGAAUCGUGACUGAAAAACUGCCGCUGAUGCCUUGCAAGAGACGAUGGUCACGUAUACGACGAUUAUGUGUCACAUAAGAGGACUGCACUGUGUCUAGAAAAAUCUAGAUAAGAUACCGACCAAGCUAAAGUCUACAUAUGCCAGAACAGUCAUAUAAAGUAUCUCGGCUGAAAAUAUGUGGUUAGGAACAAACAAGCCCAAGUGGGUGGAGCUUGGGCAUGUCGGCUGCUGUCAUUUGUAAAUGAAUUUGGUAUGUUUAUUUUAAAAUAAAUUAAUCAAUAAUUACAUUAAAUUACCUUUAUUAGUGGGAGUUAAAUUUCCAUUAAUAUGACUCAACUGCUUUAUGCUGGUUUUAAGUCUAUUAACGUCUUUCUUGGUGGUAUAUUAUGUAUAUAUAUAUUAUUAGCUAUAGCUUGAAAAAGAAAAGAGAUAGAAAAGCCACAGCCUUCUUCCUCUUCAUCCCUAUGAAUUCUCUCCUUCUUUUACUUUAUGUAUUGAGAUUUCUAAGCAACAUAGUCAAAAAGGUAUUUGUUAUCUUUUCUAAACUAUUUACACAAAUUGGCGCAAAGUCGUGAAACGUCUUAAAGAGAUCGACGUAAUACGCAACUCAUCCUAAGAAUCGUUCCAAGCUCCAUAUUGUAUUUUUCGUAUAAUAUUGUUCUCUUAUUUUAAUUUGUGCAUCAACAAUUUUAAGAGGUUUUUAUUUGCCAUGGAUGUUAAUAAUAAGGCUUAUAGAUUCUCUGACUUAAAGAACCAUGUUGUAAUUGAAUCUAAUGAUACUGUUUAAAAAAAGAAGAAGAUAAAUUCUCAUUUAAAUUAAGAAAUUGUGGGGACUCAAGUUCUAGUAAUACAUCUUUCCCAUAAAUAAUGAACCUAGAGGUAUAGAACAUUUUUAACCAACUUGGAACCAAGGAAGACUAAGAAAGAACGAAUUAAUUGCCAAGGAUUUGGACCUAAUUUUCAUGUUUAUACCUUAGAGUAGGAUCCCACCACUCUCCAAUCACAUAUAUAUAUAUACAUAUAUAUAUUUUAUAUUCAGAUUUAUUUCGUUAAUUUUUUUUAAUCUUUCAUAUUAUUUACUUAUGGUUUUACAAGAUUUUAUUGUUUUGUAGUUUCGCUAAUAUGCUGCUCCGGUGCUUCCAUUACAAUUUUUUUUUAGAGAACUUCUCCAUCACAUCUGUAAAUGUACAAUCAUACAAUAUUUCAGUGAGUUUUAAUUAGCAUGUGCCUUCUUUAUGUUGUCGGCCACCUAUAUUGGAUACACAUUCAUAUAGAAAAAGUCACCUAUAUUGUCUAAUUUACUGUCAGCUCUGCAUCACUCAAUAAAAAUUAUGUGCAGGUGGGAUCUCUGAGAUCUGGUAUUUAUCAAGAGUUAGAUUCAAUUAUACAAAAGAUCAUUUCUAUUACUCUCUUUUCCAUCAAUAUUUUCUCAACCCAAAAAUUCCAACCAUCACUAGUAAUGUAUGAAUAUGUCAACAUUAAUCAAAUAAUUAAUAACACGUAAACAUCCAAUAUCAAAAACAUUAUAAUAUCAAGCUAUAAUAUAAUAUUCACGAAAUUUAAUUCAAUCAAUUCUUGUAAAGGCCCUAAAAAAUCCAUACCUCAAUUCCAAAGCUAGCUCAAAAUUUAAGAAAACACAAACUAGGCCUAUAUCUCCUCCAAGAAUUUGAUCAUCUCUCUCUUUCUCUCUUUUACUUCCUCUCUCAUUUCUUUUUUGUUUCUUACUCUUAUUUCAAUUCUAGAAGGCCCUAUUUAUACUAGCAUAAGUCGGCAACAACAAAGAUCUCAUUGGAUAAUUGUUUGGCAGCUAAGAAAUGAGAUAUGCAUGGAAGCUAUCUUUAUAUAAUAUAAACUAAUAUUAAUCCUAU
rnacentral:lncRNA from 1 species